CUCAAAUCCAAGGCCGGGGAGUUAUAUUGGGAAAAUCUGUGUUCUUCCGUUAUAACCAAAUGACACCCCCUUCGCCUUCUGAACACGUAGGGCCUAAAGUGCGUUUAUUCUCCAGACCCUCUUUACAGAUCGUACUUUAAACAGCGUGAUCUGCGAAUAAACAAAGGCAGUAAACAAUGGAGUGGAGGCUAUGCCCGCGUAUAGUCAACAGUGACAGAGUUUGAGCUCAAAUAAAUGCCGUGAUGUCUGGAGCCCUUUGCAGAAGGCAGAAGGCGAGCUUCUACAAUGGGCUCCUGUGUGGCUUGCCAACAACAAGCACCGGCUAUUUUGCACAGGGCUCUGCUGACUGAAGUGAUCCCCACGGCCUGAGUGGAAGAGAGGAGGGAGAGGAAGCCUCAGAGGGAAGAGGGAUAGCUGCUGAAGAGCACACACACACACACACACACACACACACUCACUCACUCAAACACUUACACAAUGUCCCUCUCAGUCCUGGGUUGUGACCGGCCCAUGGCAUUGGCCAGAUGCACAUGGCCAUCUCUGAAGGACACUUUUCCUGUGCGGUUUUUCGUCUACUUUCAUCACCCUGCAUCGAGCGACCUGAGAGCACUUCCCUGUCGAUGUACUUGGCCAUAUCUACGUCUGACCUGUCUGCCAUAUGUAAUAUCAAAGCCUCUGUCAGUGUGGGGCUGAAUGGGAACAAAAGAGAGGCCUCCAUUAAUGAUUAACUGUUCUAAAAGCCCCGGCUUUUGUAUUCCCAUGGUGCCCAGGCUAUCUGGCCACCAUGUGACAUGCUCACAGCAUUUUUCGAGCAGAUUGGGGGAAAGCUAGUGAGCAAACACAGGUGCUUUGGAGCAGCGUUGCCGACGCUGUCAGGGACAACCACAAACAAGAGCAGCUAUGCCUGGCUAAAUGAAUCCCCACCCCUCCCAUCACUAUCACCACCUCCACCCCCCCUGCCCGCUAUUUGCCGCUAGCUAACUUGUUUGCUAGCACCCUAUAGCUUUCUCCUUGCAAAGCUUUAGUUCUAGAGAGCCCCCCCCCCAGCCAUUACAAGUCCAACGUCCGCUACAGCACGACUUCUCACACCCUCCACAGAAACAAACAAAUAAAAGUGAGGACGGGCGACCACUUCUUUGAGGUGAUGGCAUUUGUUGUGGUCAUGACUAGUGGGAGAGCAAACAAAUGAAUGGUGUUCAAGGUUUUCACUUUCCAAACCAAACUAAAUGUCUUUUAGUUCAAGUGGGGCAAUUCCACUGACCCUGGUGUCAGAUGCUGUUUAAGGGUUGCACACUCUUGCACUUGAAAUGCGGAGGCCAUAAGAAAAUUAAAGAGAGCUCGAGUAUUGGCACACAUGAACCAUGGUGUUUUGAAACACCACAAAGUGAGAAAUACAUCUUAAAUAUGGGUAAUAAAGUCUUUAUUUUUGCUUCUGAAUUUUGACCACAAACAAAACAAGAGGUGUUUGGAGCACUUAACCUUUUCAUCAGGCUGACUGAUUGUUCACAGUGGCUGGGGGUGCUGUGUAGCUCAACUUUGAUAAGACAAUCAGAUGAUAGGAUGGCGUUAUCUUAACAUGGCUUUCCGGCUGGUGGACAAAUGAACAGUGUGUGAUAACAGGAACAAAAGCUUGGCUCUUAUUGGCCGGCUCCUCCGAAGAAAGGAGAAAAAUUAUCAGGAUGGAAAAUUCACAAUAGGAGCAGUUAUUUCAUUUUCAAUUUUCUACUCAGCCCAGGUCACAGGAACAGGUUUUUUCCUCCCCUAAAUCACUCAAAUAUUUAUAUUGUCUCUUGUUGGUUUCACACUCUGCAAUUACCUGCGCCUAUAAAGCCAGGAUUAUUGCUGGAAGAUGAUUUUUUUUAAAAAACAAACAGUUUAAAUCAGCAGGAUAGGAAAUUAAGUUGUAAAAGGGAGAGCGAUAGAUGCAGAAAAAUGGAGGCUGCAAAGAGUGAGUGAAAAAAAAACUGACAUAAACAGAGAAAAAUUAAAGAAGAGAAAAAGGUGUGUGAGAAGAGAAGUGAUGGAAAGACAGACACUGAAGAAGGUCUAAAGUUGUUUCUUCAGUAAAAACGUCACUUCUGUCUGGGUUUUCUGACUUUUGGAGUAUAAUUCUCAGAGUCAGGAAAGGGUGUGUAUACCCAAGGAUUCACUCAAGGCUUUGUUUGCUCUAUUGCCAAAAAAUGAUUGGAAAGAAUAUUGGUGCCCUGGCACGAAAUGUUAGAACUUUCUAAGAAAUAAAAAACUCUUGCAUGAAUAAAAUAUUUUAUUUCAAACGAAA